UACGGGGGGGGCAAGCGUUGUUCGGAAUUACUGGGCGUAAAGCGCACGUAGGCGGCUUUGUAAGUUAGAGGUGAAAGCCCGGGGCUCAACUCCGGAAUUGCCUUUAAGACUGCAUCGCUAGAAUUGUGGAGAGGUAAGUGGAAUUCCGAGUGUAGAGGUGAAAUUCGUAGAUAUUCGGAAGAACACCAGUGGCGAAGGCGACUUACUGGACACAUAUUGACGCUGAGGUGCGAAAGCGUGGGGAGCGAACAGG
rnacentral:rRNA from 1 species